CAAAUACUCCCUCCGUCCCAAAAUUCUUGUCUUAGAUUUUAUCUAAAUACUGAUGUAUCUAGUUACGUUUUAGUGUUAGAUACAUCCGUAUCUAAAAAAAAAUUUAAGACGAGAAUUUUGGAACGGAGGAAGUACAUA
rfam:Triticum urartu cultivar G1812 contig350843, whole genome shotgun sequence.